GCUGGUCCUGCUGCGCCUGGACGGCCGUCUCCUGCGACCUCGGGAGGGGGUUGGGGCUGCAUCUUGCGGAGACGUGCUGCACCCCAUGGACACGAGAUGCAUGUAUUAUCCAUUCGAUCGGCCUAAGCAUUCUCACUCAAUCCCUGAUCCAGGGCGACAGAGAUGCAGCCCUUGCUUCCAAAGGCCCUGUCAACAUACUGAUUCAGCCGGAAGCUCCCAUCAGAACCAUCGAAUCCCCCGUUCUCAAAGACGGCGAUCCUUCAUACAAUAUCUGUUUUUGAACGUAGAUGUAGAAACAUUGUCUCAAAUGCUAGCCCAUUGAUGUACGGACACACAAUAAAAUUCUACAAUCCAGUUAUUUUCAGACAGGAUUCAGAUACCAGGCAAGAGAUGCACGGCUUGAGAGGCCACAACAGUGCAUAGGUUAACCAAGUUAUAUUUAUUUGAUGCUACGAAGGAAGGUGUUUAUGGAUUCUUGGUGUUCAUUAAGGUAAGGAAGGCAUGCCUCCAUUUUUUUACUCAUGUUAUUUCAAUGGUAGAGAUUCUCCGAUCUGGCUAUUAUUUUCUUAUCUUCCUAGGCUUUGAGGUUUAUUACUUUCUUGCACACAAACUAUAGCCUGUGAGGUAAGCUACCUUCUGAUAAAUACAUCACAGAGUCUAUUUGUCAUUCUAGAGGUGUAUAGUUUACUUUAGAAGUCGGUCUUUAGAUAUCAUAAAGUUUGAUCACACACAUCAGUUUGCAUACAACUAGAUAACCGUUGCUCUAUACUGAACUAACCCGACACGAAUAUCAGUAAGAGAUCUGUUUUCAUUGUUGCUAGCUCACGUAAAACUUAACGUCCUGUACCAACUGUGUAUCACUGCCGGGUUUGGCCGUGCUUCACACUUCAGGCUAAGCCAAAUAAAUAGUUUUAUGUGCUUUAAUCCUCAUUCAGAAUGCUAGAUUUGCUUUUGAGUUGGAAAGCUUGAUAAUUUGUAUAAAUUUGAUAUUAAGAAACGAUGAUGAGUUCUUCUUAUAGCAUAAUGCAAAUAAAAUUUACCAAUUCAGUGGUGCUUACUCUCAUAUGGCACCCUAUAACUCUGCCAUGUAAAGGAAGAGGUUGACUGCUCAAGGAGCUAAUACCAAGGAACAUUAGAAGGCGUACAACUGAAGAUUCUUCAGGAUCUACAUGGUAUUAGCAUAAUGUAAAGGAGGAGGUUGAUUGCUCAAGGAGCUCGGCUGCUUGGACCUUGAUGACACCACCGACGAAUAACCAGAGCCUUUGGCAGGAGAAGAAACAGCUGACCCUGGUGAGAAGAUGACAGCAGCGCCAACCAUCAGCCAUGAAGUGCAAGAGGGGGGAAUAAUGAAAGCACGUGCCUAGGAAUAGCGGUCUGCCAUUUUGUUUAAGUUUAGUUUGGCACAUGUGUGACUUAAUCUAUGUCAGUUAUGUUGUCAAUGGUAGUGUCAACAUCCCAAUUAUCUAUAUAAUGCAGUCUGAAUUUGUAUCAGCUAUGAUAUUUUCUCACCGUGGUGCUGUGCAGAACAAUAAGAUUCACUUUUGAAUAAAAUUCACGUUGUUUAUCCCCUAUAUCAACCUCGACGUUGCGUAAUACUGUAUUAAAGAGAGGCAAAUUUUAUUCUUUAUCUCAGCGGUUACUUUGAUGGCGCGGCGUGCGGCCCCUCCCACGUUUAGCGGUGGUGGGUUACAGGCUCUUCCCCGCGGAGCGGCCACUCCCGCGUGUUAUGGGCGCGGGACGGCGAGGCUCACGGGAAUGGGCAGGCUCGAUCGCUCGAGCAGAGGAGACGAUGAUUUGAGGCCGCGGUGACUGGGGGUUGCGGCUGAGACGAACGCGGCUCAAAGGCAUGGAACAACGGUGCGUUGUAGGUGAAUCCUUUUGCCAUAACUCCUCUAGCCACUCUCAAACAGCCACAUGGUGCGUGAUAGCGCGUGCGAGUUGCUGGUCAUGGCGGCGGCAUAUGCAGAGGGACACAACAACAGUAGCUUUAGGGAGCGCAGUGGGUUGCUGCUUGAUGACUCACCUCCUCUCUUUUUUCUGUGCAGCGACGACAGAUUCUGGUUCACACCAGUUUCAUAGCAGUAGCUUCCCUACCUCUGGUUUCCCUCCCAAUUUUUGUUUAUCAAAAGUUCAUUAUUGAUGCAUGGAUCGAGCAGAGGAACUGCAUUCCUUUCUGAAUUUUUCUGCUGAUCGGAUCUAGGAUUGCUAAUAAUUGGAUACUAUGCACGCUUUUAGAUGCUUCACCGAAGACAGGCCUUAUAUGGCAAUAGCAGUGUUUAUUGUUAGUUUCCUGUUAGACACAUGCUGCUCGAUCUGAACCAGCUUGACCUCGCAUCUCUCUCGGCCAUCGAGGCCAGGUCUCUUGAUGCCACUUUUACAAAAGAAGAGAUUAAAAAUUCCAUCAUGGGGAUGCCUACAGAUCGUGCCCCAGGUCCCGACGGCUUCAAGGGGCUCUUCUUCAAACUCUGUUGGGAGAUCAUUGGAGAUGAAGAUGAUAUGACGGAGGCUUUCAAUCACCUGCACAAGGGACACUUUCGAAAUCUUCAGAGGUUUAGAUUAUUGGUCCUGAUUCUGGUACCCAAAAAGGAGUAUUUAUUGUUAGUAUCAACACACCUAUGCUGAUCAUCAUAUACUAAACCGCUCAUGUUUGUAUAGUACUGCUCCUUUCGUAUGUUCUUAGUAACUAAUAUCUAGCAGUAAUGCAAAGUGGUCAGAAAUUUACAAUGUUAUCUACACAAGUGGCAGAUGUAGGAUCUUAGAGUUAUCAUGAAUAUACAAUAAGCUAGCUUUGAGUUUUGGUUGCAGGAUCCAAAAUGUUCCUGAUUGGCCAGGUUAGGACAUUAUGACAAUUCAUAUGUUGCACAGUCGUCUUCUUUCAUGGAUGAAUGUGGUUAUGUUCAUACUUGAUACAAGAUGUUGAUGAAUUGAAGAGAACUGAGGACUGUUCAUUACAGCGUAUGGCCUCUAUAUUUUUCUCUGUAAUGUGUUGCACACACAAAGAAGGAGAGAGAGAGAGGUUUAUGGAUACUCAUACCUGUUUAAAUUGAGGUGAAUCAACACCCUUCUUAAGUUAUUCUCAUUUUUUCCUGUUCCACUUGCAAUUUCUGUACUAUUUUCGGUGUGCAUAUAGUUUGUGUUUCUUUUUUCUUCCAUUGUUUACUCACAUAUCAGUUCCUGCAAAAAAUAAAUCUGGAAGAAGUGUCAUCCCUCACAGUUACAGUGUUCAUCCUUAGGUUAGAAGUUAUCCUUCAUUGAGUCAAGACUACACCAUAUAUAUUGUCUUUGAUUUUGGGCUUAUAGGUUCUGUCUUAUCUCAAAUUAUCAUAGAUAUGUUUGUCGUUUAGAAGUCUUUUAUCUUAGCUGUAGUUUGCCCCCAAAUAUUAGUGUAUUUUUUUCUGCAUACACUCUUUUCUGUUUAUAUCCAUUUGAUGCAAGAGAAUGCUUACUUUCUGCUGAUAGCCAAUGAGCACAACAAAAGCAAAACUAUUCCUUUGAAAGAGAGUUUUUAGUACCCAAACAGCCCAGCGUACCUAAUGAGCAGUACUGUCCUCAAUCAGAGCAACAUUCCAAUUGUAUGCUUAUAUAUGAUCUUUGUUUACGUUGCUUCCAUAUGUAUGAUUCCGCAGCACCUACCACAGGUGAACCAUAAGCGCAUUUAAAUCUUCAAGACUAAGGGGGGUUCUUCUACUGGGGGGCCAAGGUCUUACUUGACCAUACACAACUGUGGGCUGAUUUCUCUCACAGAGCAUCGCUCUCCUGGAAAGAACACUAACUAUACCUAUUUUGUGUACUUUCUCCGUGUUGUAGUAGGUUAUAUGUUUUCCAUAGUUUAUCUGUUCAGUGAACUUUUCUUUUGUCAUGGAUUUGAACUGCUGAUUGAUUUGUUACCAAGAUAGGUAUUUUAUUAGAAGUUCCUUAAUUAGUAUGCUCUGUUUUCUUUUCCUUACAUUUGGUUUCUACAGUCUGUCCAAUCUUUCUGAAUUCAGAGCGAAAAAGAAUUACUUACAGACAAAUUGUUGUCUACAUGCAGAACCAAUGGGUAAAUAGUUUAUAAGCAGUUCCAGAUACAGUUAUCUUAUCAGUAACAUUUUUUGUUUAACAAUGAAGUUCUUUCCAUCUACAGCUGGCACCAAAAAUUAACAGAUCGAUUGUGAACAAAUUAGACAAUGUAUACCAACAGUCAAAGAAAUUUGAACAGUGCAUACCAUUUUUUCUCUUAAUCUGCUUGGUUUUAUUUUUAGAUGAUGGUUUUCCAAGAGGCUUCCUAAUGUACUGAUUGCCUUGAACAAUUCCGAACUACAUUCAUUACAAUCUACUUCUUAGAUGCCUCUUAUUGCAUUAUUAACCAGCGGUAACUACAGUGUAGAUCCAAGCUGACUCUCCAACUGCUUCUCUCAAUACCUAUCUGACCAUAACUAACAAGGAAUUUCCGCGAAUUAGUGAGGAGCUCAUUUUUAGUAUUGCUACAGAUUGUUUCCGGUUACAUGACGCAUGAUAGUACUCAAUGCACAAAUAUUGAACAUUCUUUUAUAACCCGGAGCGCCUGUACUUCACUAAGAUUGGUGUAUACAAAUGCAGCGUAUUCACCCAACAGUCAUGACACGCUACCGUGGCACAACAUAUUUCACUCUCAAGGAGGCCUGCCAAGCGUAGGGAUAAUUGGUUGGUGAUGACAAUGAGUGGUUCUUGCUAUCUGACAAAACUAUCCAAUUGCCUGUCAUCCGGUUUCUCUCUGACAUGAAGGUGAAUACUGACUGAGAGUUAAUUAUAAGACUUAUUAGUUUUCGCCUGCAGUCUCGAAUGCUCCCGGUAACAAUUUUUACCCAUGCAUUCCUGAUUAUUGAGAAGGAGAUUUUAUGGUGAUGACAUUGGUGGAGACGCAUGAUUUGUCUGGGUAAACGCCCAGUUGAGCCUACUGAUGUUUGCUUUGUACAUGUCCCUGCUGCUGGGCUGCCUGUGUCUUUACUGUCUAAGUUUGGUUUCUCUGCUUCUUUACAUGAUGUAUUCUAUUCACUCGGGUCGUCGCAACUUCCUACCAGGCCUCCUCUGCAGGGCAUUUCUUCAUGAUCUGCUCCAGGUGUGGAGCCUUCCCUUGAUAUAGACAUAUUUGCUUCUGGAGAUGAUUUGUGUUUCAUGGGUACAGGUUAGAACAGUCAAUUGCAGCUAGACCUGGAGAGGGUAGUUGACCUUGGCCGAGCAGCAAAAAACCUACUGUGAGCAUUUUAUGUACUAUAUUAUCGCACAACCUCAGAGCUUCCUUUUACCGUGUAAAUUAUUUUUAACCAGUCAGAGCUUGGUUCUUUGGAGGUACAGUGCUCAGGAAAUGGAUAGGCAUACCGCAAAAUUUGUUCCUUAGUUUGAGGUGCAUUCCUUCUCAAAGUUACAUAUACUAUGAUUUUUUAUAAGAGCCAAACUAGCAACCUUUAGUUCUUGAGAUUUUCGUUAUACUUUGGAGUAACAAUUUGCAACAUGUUCUUACAUUUACUCUCCAAAAGACGUGUGUGUUUUUCUCUAUGUUGUCCUGGCUGUUGGGGAAUCAGUUACUUUGUGUUGAAUAAAUAAGCCUUAAAAAUGCAGGGCCGCACAAGCAUGCGUUGUUUUUCCUGGGAUAAGCAGCAUCAACUGCUUUAUGUACAAGUGAACUAAGGUUUUGACUCAUAGUUGUGUGCACCAGAUAUAUAUCAUGAAA